GUCUUUAUGUAACAUUUAUAAAGUCUGGCCUGCCCACUGAAUAAUUUAAAGGGCCGCGGUAUCUUGACCGUGCAAAGGUAGCAUAGUCAUUUGUCUUUUAAUUGGAGGCUUGUAUGAAUGGUCGCACAAGAAAUAAUUUGUCUUAACUAAAUUUAUUGAAUUUAACUUUUAAGUAAAAAGGCUUAAAUAAAUUAAAGUGACGAUAAGACCCUAUAAAACUUUAUAAUUUAUAUUAAAAAAAUAUAUUAGUUAUUUAAAAUUUUUUUAGUGGAUUUUAUUUUAUUGGGGCGAUAAAAAUAAAAAUAGUAACUGUUUUUAAAAUUUAAAUGAUAAUUGUCAGUUUUAUUAAAUGAUCCUUUAUUAAAGAUUAUAAGAUUAAGUUACUUUAGGGAUAACAGCGUAAUUUUCUUUGAGAGCUCUUAUCUACAAGAAAGAUUGCGACCUCGAUGUUGAAUUAAAAUUUCUUUAAGGUGUAGCAGCUUUAAUAGAAGGUCUGUUCGACCUUUAAAUUUUU
rnacentral:rRNA from 1 species